ensembl:lncRNA
UUCAGAUGAUGGUCGUGGCAGUGCUCCUUUCCAUCCGGAUGGGAGACCUGAGCAUGACGCAGGCAUUAAUUUCAUGUUUUAUCACAUAGGAGCGUGGAAGAGAUGCAAAGGGAAGCCGAAGCGCUGCCACGUGAAAGAGAUCCUAAUUACCGCGGCUAAUUACGAAGAAUAAAUCCCCAUUAGGGAGGGGCAGCACGUCCUACCACUGCCCAGCUGCAUGGAGCAGCCAUCCGGGCUGCCAGCCACCCCAGGACGGAGGGAAUAGGGCCGCUCCAUUCAUCAGGGGCUUUAUUAGGAAAUCGUUAAGCGGCUUUUCCCUCCCGAUCCCCACUUAUCAGCAGCCAGGUGAAACGGUGAUGGAUUCAGCUGCCACGCAGCUCCGUUAAGCACGGCACGCCGCCUGACAGCAGUGCCUAAUGGACCCGCGCUCUGCACCGCUGGCUCGUGUAUUUCAAGGCCUUGCUUUAAUUGAGUCCUGUCUCCCCCGUGUCGUGCCUUUUUUGCUUUUUGGGAGGCCUUUCUUAUGAUGUUUUCUCCCUCCCCCUUUAGUUAGAAAGACUUCCCAAAAUACACCGAUGCAUUGGAUCUGCUCUCUCCUCGCCUCAUCCCUUUGGCAAAGCGGAGCCCUGAGGGAAGUUAACAAAUUGAACAUCUGUCCUCAGAGCAACUGAGUGCAAAGAACAGCGAAAUCUUUGGCUGUUUUUUUUUUAUCUUUCUUUCUUUUUCUUUCAUUUUUCUUUUUCUGGCAGAAUUUGUGGAGGGGGCGAAAGCCCCUUUUGAAGCUGAGCGUUCCCUUUCUUAUCAG